rnacentral:rRNA from 1 species
UACUUUUGAUGGCGACCGGCGGACGGGUGCGUAACGCGUAUGCAACCUACCCUUUACAGGGGGAUAACACUGAGAAAUCGGUACUAAUACCCCAUAAUAUUCCGGGAGGCAUCUUUCGGAGUUGAAAGCUUUGGUGGUAAAGGAUGGGCAUGCGUUGUAUUAGCUAGUUGGUAAGGUAACGGCUUACCAAGGCGACGAUACAUAGGGGGACUGAGAGGUUAACCCCCCACAUUGGUACUGAGACACGGACCAAACUCCUACGGGAGGCAGCAGUGAGGAAUAUUGGUCAAUGGACGGAAGUCUGAACCAGCCAUGCCGCGUGCAGGAAGACGGCUCUAUGAGUUGUAAACUGCUUUUGUACGAGGGUAAACGCAGAUACGUGUAUCUGCCUGAAAGUAUCGUACGAAUAAGGAUCGGCUAACUCCGUGCCAGCAGCCGCGGUAAUACGGAGGAUCCAAGCGUUAUCCGGAUUUAUUGGGUUUAAAGGGUGCGUAGGCGGUUUAGUAAGUCAGCGGUGAAAUUUUGGUGCUUAACACCAAACGUGCCGUUGAUACUGCUGGG